AAUAUUAUUUCUUUUAUAACAUAUUCAGCACCUGUUUCCUCUUCCUUUUUUUUUUUUUCUUUUGCUUUCUCUAAUAACUACUUACUUGCAUUAUUAUUCAUUAUUGACAGGUGAUACCCACAAUGGCAAUCAUUUGAAUACGAGAUAUCCAGCCUUUACAAACUGACCUACAAAUCAAAGGGCGAGUCUGCAGGGUGUGGAGAGUGAAGAAAUACAGACCUGUUCCUAGAAACAAUGGUCUUCAGUUUGUUUUAGUUAAUGAGAAGAACGAGGCAAUCCAAGGAUCUUUUCUAGAAGCAUACUACACCACAAUAAGGACUGGUCCGAUUGCAGCUGUAUAAGAAUAUUGUCUGGGUUUUCUUUAAAGCUCUGAUCUGUGGAUGGAAGUUGAGGGUUUCGUGCUAUAGUCAAAAGAUUGAAUCGGUUUUUGUCAUCAGAACGAAUGAACUUGGUAUGUCAAUGUUCCUCAAGAAAUCAACAGGCUGAGGUGCGGGGUGAACUAUCACGGUCUUAAAUUUCUUCCCGAGAUAGAGCAGAUGGCUGAUUUAUUGGCAUCAAGGAUGAGAAACCGCAGUGGAAGUUCCAAUCCUUAUAUGUUAUGGAGGUCAUGAAGAUAUUGGAGAUUGACCUUGAAAGUGGAUGGAUUUUGCCCAAGUUAUUUCAGUGGGAAAGGAAAGCAAAUCACUUCUACACACAAAAAGACAUUGAUCAGGUCCGGGCCGAGUGGGCAAAGUAUGUCAGCCAAUUUCAACAAAGCUAGUGUGUCGAGAAGAUUCUAAUUUUGGACAUGCAUCACUAUAACCCAUAUUAACUAGUUAUGCAGUUGGUCUAAGUAUCUAUUUUUGGCCUGCAAGUACAGUUUAUGAUCAGUAGUAUGAGAUAUCAGUGUUUUUUGGGUUACAUUUGUUGAUCAUGCCAAUUGCUAUGGGUUAUUGAACUGAUGUUUAUUAA